AGAGUUUGAUCCUGGCUCAGGAUGAACGCUGGCGGCGUGCUUAACACAUGCAAGUCAAGGGGGCCCAGCAAUGGGUAACCGGCGAACGGGUGCGUAACACGUGAGCAACCUACCGAAUUGUGGGGGAUAGCCGGCCCAACGGCCGGGUAAUACCGCAUACGAUCGAGACCAGGCAUUUGGACUCGACGAAAUCUACGGAGCAAUUCGAGGGGCUCGCGGCCUAUCAGCUAGUUGGUGAGGUAACGGCUCACCAAGGCGACGACGGGUAGCUGGUCUGAGAGGAUGGCCAGCCACAUUGGGACUGAGAUACGGCCCAGACUCCUACGGGAGGCAGCAGUGGGGAAUCUUGCGCAAUGGCCUAACGGCUGACGCAGCGACGCCGCGUGAGGGAUGACGCUCUUCGGAGUGUAAACCUCUUUUGCCCGGGACGAAUUGCCAGUUUUAACUGGCUUGACGGUACCGGGUGAAUAAGCACCGGCUAACUCCGUGCCAGCAGCCGCGGUAAUACGGGGGGUGCGAGCGUUGUCCGGAAUCACUGGGCGUAAAGGGCGCGUAGGUGGUCUUAUAAGGGUGUGGUGAAAGCCCGGGGCUCAACCCCGGGUCGGCCGUGCCGACUGUGAGACUAGAGUGCUGUAGGGGCAGGCGGAAUUCCGGGUGUAGCGGUGGAAUGCGUAGAGAUCCGGAGGAAGACCGGUGGCGAAAGCGGCCUGCUGGGCAGAUACUGACACUGAGGCGCGACAGCGUGGGGAGCAAACAGGAUUAGAUACCCUGGUAGUCCACGCCGUAAACGAUGGGUACUAGGUGCCUGGGGGAGCGACCCUUGGUGCCGGCGCUUACGCAGGAGUACCCCGCCUGGGGAGUACGGCGCAAGGCUGAACUCAAAGGGAUUUGACGGGGCCGCACAGCGGUGAAGCAUGUGGUUUAAUCGCGCACGCGAAGAACCUUACCUAGGCUUGACAUGCAUGGGAACUUCCUAGAACCGAGGAG
rnacentral:rRNA from 1 species